GUGACUGUUGAUAAAUCAAAAUAAAUAAAUAUAAAAGCAUUUAAAAAAAAGAAAUGCUUACUGAUUAAGAGAGUUUUCAUUCUUUGUAUUCAUAUUCCCCAGUGCCUAGCACAGUGUCUGACAUAUAGUAAGUGCUUCAUACGACGGCUGUUGGAUAAGGGGGAGAGAGAAACUGAACAUCAUCAAUGUUAGGUCAAGGAUUUCUGACCUCCUUGAAGACGGGUUCAGUCCCAGGCCUUUUCUUAUUUUGGUGGAUAUGUUGCUGGGCCCUUGCCAAACCCUUCUUGUCAAAUGAAAAUACUGAGAGAGGAGAUUGUCUCUGCAAUUCUUUUUUAUUUGCCUAUUUGCCUUAUGUCAGAGGUUCCCAAACUUAUUUGGCCUAUUGCCCCCUUUAAAAAAAAUUACUCAAUGCCUCCCCUAGAAAUCUACUUUAAAAAAAAAGCCAACUGGGGUUAAGUGACUUGCCCAGGGUCACACAGCUAAUAAGUGUCAAGUGUUUGGUCUGGGGCCGGAUUUGAACUCAGGUCCUCUUGACUUCAGGGCCAGUGCUCUAUCCACUCACUGUGCCACCUAACUGCCCCAAGAAAUCUACUUUCUUUAACAGUGUUUUUAAAAUUUGCAUCAUUUCAAAAAAAGUAUAAAUUUUUUUUUUAAAAAAUGAUGCAUCUUAAAUCUAAUAAUUUACUGUAAAUUUGUGGGUUUUUUUUUCCUGCAUUGAAAUUUUGAUGACACAAUAUCUACUGCGCCAUCUAUCUGUGAAUAUUUUUUACAUGACACCUAAUCUGUUUCCACCAAGGAGAAAGAGGACUACUAGUGUUAAUGGUAGAAGGAAAUAGUGAGAACAGAGCAAGACUAGGGGACUUUGUUGUCCUUCUAACAUUAGUUGGAAUUACCUUUACUUCCCAGAGAGGGAAUAUUAUAGGAAGAAGGGAUAGAAAACCAAUGAGUGAUACUCUCUUUCCUCAGAAGAAAAGAUAGUGUCUGAGCUCUAGGGAUUCAGAUUCAGGGUAACCCAGAUGGGAUCAGCU
rnacentral:lncRNA from 1 species